GAUGAACGCUAGCUACAGGCUUAACACAUGCAAGUCGUGGGACCGGCGCACGGGUGAGUAACGCGUACCGAACCUGCCCAUCACACAGGGAUAGGCUUGCGAAAGCAAGAUUAAUACCUGAUGGUGAUGGAUGGCGGUGCGUCCCAUUGGAAGUUGGCGGGGUAACGGCCCACCAAUCCUUCGAUGGGUAGGGGUUCUGAGAGGAAGGUCCCCCACAUUGGAACUGAGAUACGGUCCAAACUCCUACGGGAGGCAGCAGUGAGGAAUUUGGUCAAUGGGCGGGAGCCUGAACCAGCCAAGUAGCGUGCGGGAUGAAGGCCUUGUGGUCGUAAACCGCUUUUAUCAGUGAAUAGGUAGCUGAAGAAAAAGGACCGGCUAAUUCCGUGCCAGCAGCCGCGGUAAUUC
rnacentral:rRNA from 1 species